AGGUGCGAGCAAUCCUGUGCCGAGACGAUCCAGAUCUGGAGCUAGCAUUGGCUAACGAAACCCCACUUGUUUUGAAGAAGCCACGUGAAGAGAAAAGGCUUUACCUUACACCUUCAACCAAUUGUCCUGAUAAGCCACGCCUACUAUCAGCGAGGAAAUCUUCACAUCAGAUCGUCUACUAGUCUUCAUUGAGUUUGCUUUGCUCCAAAAUUUGACAGGACAGUGCUGGUGCAAUUUUUACUCCACUGCUGUUGUAUCUUCAAGAUGGGUCUGUUUGUUUAUCAGUGAUUUCUGAUUUACAAGUGAGCGAGUUACAAUUCUACAAACUUACAGAUCCAUAAAUGUGCAUACAGCAUCAUGGAUUA